GCCCCCAAGUUCAAUACACCUCUUUCAACUGGUUCUUCUUCAUUUCCUGCAACCUCUCUUCCUUGUAUGGGUCAUUUUCCUUUUUGAAAACUCAAUCAGGCAGAAAUUCACCACAAACGUAAGCUUAAACUUUGUUUCAAUUGUGAUAAAAAAUAUCACAAGGGUCAUCGUUUCUCUUCUCCUUCACAACUUUUUCUCCUUAUCUCUGAGGAUGAUCCACGAGAAAAAUCCCCACCUCCAUCUCCAUUGCCUACACCAGAUAGCAAUAUGUCUUUCCCGCCAACUGAAUCCUCCCUCCUUACUAUCAGCUAUCAAGCUUUGUCUGGUAGAACUUUCACCAUCAUAUCUCUUUGAUUCACAUGUCAGGUAAAAGGCCAAGUGUCUAAAGUUCUUAUUGAUGAUGGGGGCACUCAUAAUUUUAUCACUUCUUGUGUUGCAAAAUCUCUUCAACUACCCAUUGAAUUUUCUGUCAAAUUCUCUAUUUUAGUGGGUAAUGGUCAUAAUCUUUUAUGUUUGGGUGUCGUCCAUGAUCUUUCCAUCACUGUAAAAGGCCACACUUUCUACAAAGAAUUCCUUGUCAUUGAUUUACAUGGCUCUGACUUGGUUUUAGGGGUGGUAUGGUUGGCGACUUUGGAUCCAAUCAUGACAGAUUAUGCCCAAUAUCUCUUUCAAUUUAAUUUCCAAGGUAAAUGUGUCUCAUGGUCUGGAGAUCCUCCUCCCAAACUGCAAUAAGUCCAACCUUCUGCGUUACGUCGUUGUAACCAAACAAAUUCCAUUUCUUGUUUGCUUUAUUUAAAGCUUUUGUCUCCAAUGAUAGCCCUAGAAUUGCACCACUCACCUGCUCUUACCUAGAUGCUCGACUCGUAUCUGGAUGUGUUUGUGUCUCCAAUAGCUCUACCACCUUCAUGUCCUCAAGAUCACCGCAUUUUGCUAAUUCCUCGCUCUUCCCCCGUGAAUGUCCACCCAUAUCACUAUCCUUAUUUUUAGAAGGGUGAGAUUGAAUGAUUGGUCUCUGGUAUGCUCAAAUCUAGUGUCAUUCAACUUAGCUUCAGCCCUCAUUCAUUCCCUAUUUUGCUGGUGCAUGAGAAAUAUGACACUUGACGCUUUUGUGUCGACUACCGGGCAUUAAAUCCUAUCACAAUUAAGGAUUGAUUUCCCAUCCCCACAGUGGAGGAACUAUUUGAUGAACUUUAUGGUGCUUUUUUCUUUUCUAAACUUGAUUUGUUGGUUGGGUACCAUCAAAUUUGAGUAAUCCCUGAUGUCAUUGAGAAGAUGACAUUUCACACCCAUGAUGGCCACUUUGAGUUUGUUGAAAUGCCAUUUGGGCUGUCUAACGCCUCAUCUAUAUUUCAAGCCACCAUGAAUGCUAUAUUCAAGCCUUUCCUUUGCCAGUUUGUCCUCGUCCUCGUCUUCUUCGAUGUCAUACUCAUAUAUAGUAUGACUUGGUAGGAUCAUAUCCUUUAUCAGUUUACAGGUUAAUCCUAAAAAUAUUUGUGCUGUUGAAUCAUGGCCCUGCCCAAUAUCGCUUAAAGAGGUUCGUGGGUUUUUGGGCUUAACGUGGUAUUAGCACCGAUUUAUCAAAGGGUAUGCCCAACUAGCUUCACCAUUAACUGACCUUUUGAAAAAGUACUCCUUUGUAUGGUCAGAUGCUUCUUCUAUUGCAUUUAUCAUUCUAAAGCAGGCUUUGAGUUCUAUUCCCGUACUCGCUUUGCCAAAUUUUGCUAAAAUGUUUUCUGUGGAGACGGAUGCUUCUGGCAUUGGUAUUGGUACUGUUUUAUAUCAAGAAGGACACCCCAUCACAUUCUUCAGCCAAAAUAUAUCUGCAUGAAUGCAGGCAGUCUCUACUUAUACAAGAGAUAUAUUUGCUAUUACACAGGCUGUUCAAAAGUGGAGACAAUAUUUGUUGGGUAAAAAAUUCCUCAUUAUUACAGAUCAACAACCACUAAAAUCCCUCACUAAUCAGGUUAUUCAGGUACCUGAGUAGCAAUGUUGGCUCAACAAGUUGAUUGGUUUUGAUUUUGAGAUCUUAUAUCAUCCUGGCAAGCUGAACUCUACUGCUGAUGUGUUAUCUUGAGUUCCCACUAUGCUUGAUUUAACUCUGGCAGUCACUGGGAUAGACUUGAUCUACAAAUUGCGACAAAUUAACAGAACAUAUACAAAUUUACUUGACCUUCAACAAUCGUUGUCUACUGACCCUGCCUCAUUACCCCACUUGUCGUUUCAAGAUAGUCUUAUGCUCAUUCAAAACCGAUUGGUCAUUCCCCUCGAUACUGAAAUCAAGAAGAUACUCUUGGAGGAAUUUCAUUCUUCAAAAAUUGAUGGAUAUGCAGCUGAUACUUUUUCUAGGUGGUUUCAUCUUCUUCCGUGGAAGGAGUUUUGCUAUAACAUCUCUUACCAACACAACUUUCCUUUUGAGGUGGUGUAUGGUCGUCCUCCCCUGGUAAUUGCUUGAUAUAUUUUGGAUGGCAACACUCCACCAGCUGUGGCUAAUUUACUUAGGCAACACGAUGAUACUUUGGCACUGGUGAAGUCUAAUUUGCAAUUUGAUCAGGCUUGAAUGAAAAGAUACGCUGACAAAGGUUGCAAGGAUGUGGCGUUUAAGGUUGGCGAUUGGGUCUUUGUUCGUUUGCGUCUCUACAGACAACUUUCUCUCUGCUCCAAUGUCAUACCAAACUCAGUCGGUGAUUCUUUGGGCUAUUUUGGGUGCUUCAAUAAGUUGGUGAGGUUGCUUAAAGGUUGGAACUCCCACCUUCAUCGAAAAUUCACCCUGUAUUUCAUGUCUCCAAUCUUCGCAGAUGUUUGGGUACUCCAGACCAACAAGUCACUCCUAUUGAUCUCCUUGAUCAUUAUUUUUCACUCAUGCUCUUCUCGAAUCAAUUAUAGACAGCCGCACCAUUACUAGAGGCGCAUAUCAGGUGUUGUAAUUUUUUAUCAAGUGCAGGGGUUACCCGAGGAUUCUCACUCUCUCCGUCAAAGUAUUCCUGACUUGAAGCUUUAGGACAAGGUUCGUCUUCCUGAAGGUGAUAAUGUAACAAAUAUGCAAGACCACGGGGUAACACUACGCCACAACAAUUGGGACAAACAACCCCCUAAAUACUUGGACCAAUAUGUGGUCCCAAAUGCCAAGCAAGGGCUAGCUGUGCCGGUACCAGUAGCACUAGUAGCACGAGGCAGUGCUGCCAGGAGCUCUGCAACAUAACUUAUUUAUAUAAUCAAAAGGGAUGCUACCAAAGAGGAUCAUGGAUGAAGUUUUUUUUUUAAUUUCUUAUCUUUGUAAUAGUCUAGAAUCUCCCUUCAUUCUGUUUUUUUUCCUUCUUAGCUUAUCUACAACUUUCAGUAAUUGUACGUUAUUCUCUAUAUUUCAAUACAAGUUAGUUUUAUUCCA